rnacentral:lncRNA from 1 species
UAUUAAAAACUGGUUGCUAAAAUGAAGGAUAUAAUCUCUUCAGUGUUUCUUUUAAAAAACCCAAACAGACAAGCCCCAACUGAUGAAAUGCACAAGGGAUUGGAGGGAGUAGAGACUUAAGAAGGCAAAAGGAGUUUUCCAAGAGGACAGGACUGUGCAUGUGUUCAGAGCCCAUAAAAGAAAUUCUUUUCUCAGGCCUGUGUCUGAGAAUAGGCCAAGGACAAUGAGAAAGACGGUGAAGAUUCUUAAAUCUCAUCACUUUCUGUGGUUUCUUAAAAGCAAACAACAACAAAAAAAAUCCCAAACCCAAUAACACACAGAAACAUGGGCAAGUACCACAAAAAUGUCUACUGCAGAACAGGGAUGUGACCUCAAGAACAGCCUUGAUGUUGUUUGAAGCACAAGCCUCAGGAUGCUGUGAAGCAGCUCCAGACUGACAGAACCACAGAAUCAGUUCAGUUGGAAAAGACCUCU